GCGUAACUUGCGCCAAAUUCCGUCAGCCAAUCAAAUCGUUUCAUCUACUAUAUGCAUAUCCGCUUAGUUAUUUAACGCAUUUUACGCUUUUGCCGAUACGCCAAAUCCAAUUUUUCACGUAAAUCGGUAAUGCAUAUGUAUUAGUGAUGUGUGUGUACGUGCGAUCACCAAGUAUUGUAAUGUAAUUUGACUCACGAAAAUUAGAAAAAAUGGAUCAAAUUCGGCAUAAAUGUGNAUACUGCGGAUGGCUUUUUAGUUUCAAACUUUGUUGAUCAUGACUGCUUUAAACAUUAUAUUGAAGAAGUAGACCACAUUAGAAUUGACGAAAAUCAUGUCGUGACAAUACAUAUGUGACUUUUUAAAAAAGAAAAUUUGGAUGAACUAUUAAUCGAAGCAGUUAGAAGCAAACGUGGGCUGUAUGAUUCUUGUAUACCUGCUUCAGAGAGAACUAUGUUGCGCAAAAAUGCAUUAUAGAUGAAAGUUUCGAAUAUAUUACAAGGAUUUCUCAGUCCAGAGAAAGCUAAAGCUCGAUAGAAGUAUCUGUGAGAUAAUUAUAUAAAAGCUCGCAAGAAGAUUCGAGCAUACAUACCCAGUGGAUCGGCAGCUACUGCUACUAAAACCAAUAAUAACUCGAGGUUUCAAUAUUAUGAGCUUAUGAGAUUCCUGAACGAAUCAUUGCAAACACGACAGAUAGUAAGUUCAUUAUCAGAUGCCAGUGCUAAGAAUGAAGUAGUCACUUCAUUUGACACAGAAAAUGAGCAACACAAAAGUAAUGCUAUAGCUGGACCUUCGAAAGCGCUUCACACACAGAUUUCAGCCAGCAACAAUUCUCCACAGACUUCCUUAUGUGUUCCUUCUCGGACGCCGACACCUACAAAUAUUUCUCUACAGUCGCUCGAUUCUGACGUUUUUUCACAAACCCCGACAUCCACAAAAUAUUUUUCAUCAACUGAAAAUAGAGUACCUACACGAACACAAACUACAAAAUUGAAACGUUUGUUUAUUUAUUAAAUAAAAAGAGCCAAUACGAGCCGUAAACAAAGUAUCCGUGUUUAAAUAUUUUGUUCUAUGUUUAACGUCAAACAAUGUCAACAACGUUUUCAAAACGAUAAAGAUUUUAAAACGUUAAACAUAGAAUAAAUCAUUUAAACACAGACUCUGUUUACGUCUCGUAUUGGCCUUUUUUUAUUUAUUAAAUUUUACAAGCAGAAAUAAAUAAUAAUUUGUUUAUUUAUUUUCAUUUGUCGGAGUUUUUAUAAUUUUUACAGCAAAAAUGACAUUUUAAUUUCUUUGUAGAAUCGGAGCAAAUCUUUUUUGACGAUUACGAGCCGCCUGCAAAAAGUAAAUGUUUUUAAAUUUAAGUUUUUUAUUAUAUUGAUGUACAAUAAAAUAUUUCUAUUAUUAA